CUUCAUAUUUCUCUCUCUCUCUGUUGUGCACAAAUGCAGAGUCAGUGGAAUUCUGUCAUAAUUGGGCUGCUAUCUAUUUACUGUGUGACCUGUCAGUCCGUAUAUGUGGAGGAAGGACAGACAGCCUCUCUAUCAUGUACAUAUGAAACAAGUGCAAUUACAAAUUUGAGAUGGUAUCGACAGUAUCCCGGAGGGAAACCAGAUGAAAUUAUUACUGUUAUUAAUGAUGGGAAUAAAACGGAAGGAAAAUUCACAGCGGAGAUCCAGAAGAAGCACAAAACCAGUUUCCUCUAUGUAACAAACACAAGAGUGACUGAUUCUGCAUCUUAUGUCUGUGCUACUGAUGCACAGUGUCAGACAUCCUAUGGCAGCCUAUGCAAGAACAUUGUGCUGUUAGAUGCUUGGCUCCCAACGAUACAGUGA